rnacentral:rRNA from 1 species
CCUACGGGAGGCAGCAGUGAGGAAUAUUGGUCAAUGGACGAGAGUCUGAACCAGCCAAGUAGCGUGAAGGAUGACUGCCCUAUGGGUUGUAAACUUCUUUUAUAUGGGAAUAAAAUGUUCCACGUGUGGGAUUUUGUAUGUACCAUAUGAAUAAGGAUCGGCUAACUCCGUGCCAGCAGCCGCGGUACUCCGGAGGAUCCGAGCGUUAUCCGGAUUUAUUGGGUUUAAAGGGAGCGUAGGUGGAUUGUUAAGUCAGUUGUGAAAGUUUGCGGCUCAACCGUAAAAUUGCAGUUGAAACUGGCAGUCUUGAGUACAGUAGAGGUGGGCGGAAUUCGUGGUGUAGCGGUGAAAUGCUUAGAUAUCACGAAGAACUCCGAUUGCGAAGGCAGUUCACUGGACUGCAACUGACACUGAGGCUCGAAAGUGUGGGUAUCAAACAGGAUUAGAUACCCUAGUAGUC